rnacentral:rRNA from 2 species
AUGGUUAAGUUAGAAAGGGCGCACGGUGAAUGCCUUGGCACUAGGAGCCGAUGAAGGACGGGACUAACACCGAUAUGCUUCGGGGAGCUGUAAGUGAGCUUUGAUCCGGAGAUUUCCGAAUGGGGAAACCCACUGUUCGUAAUGGAACAGUAUCUUUAUCUGAAUACAUAGGAUAUUGAAGGCAGACCCGGGGAACUGAAACAUCUAAGUACCCGGAGGAAGAGAAAGCAAAUGCGAUUUCCUGAGUAGCGGCGAGCGAAACGGAAUUAGCCCAAACCAAGAGGCUUGCCUCUUGGGGUUGUAGGACACUCUAUACGGAGUUACAAAGGAACGAAGUAAAUGAAGCGACCUGGAAAGGUCCGUCGAAGAAGGUAACAACCCUGUAGUUGAAACU